CUAAGACCACUCUGUCUGGGGAACAUGGCCGCCGGAACAAAGCUAAGAGCCCAGAGAAGCAGGAGAGAGCAGACUCCCCUGGACCCAGCUGUGCCUCCAUGAAGAGUGGCUGGUCUAUGGAUCAUCCUCCUGUGCUAUUUCAAGAUGGAAAUCAGUUUAUUGAGAAGAGAAGAGUCCAGAAGCAGAGAGCAGACUCCCCUGGACCCAGCUGUGUCUCCAUGAAGAGUGACCGCUCUAUGGAACAACCUGUUAACUUUAAAUAUGGAAAUCAGUCCAUUGAGAAAAGUUAAGCAUUGAUUAGAGAUGAUGAUUCGGGCUGUAGUCUUAAAUUCAACCAACUCUGACCAAUUGAUCGGUCGACGGUGAAAAGAUGAUUAUAAAAUAUUGUGCACGUUAUCUCUGGAUCAACAUAAUCUACCACAGUGCGUUGUACUCUGCCUGCUAGCCUCAAUAUCACAUAAGGGCUGUUUGGAGAAGGGCAGUGGGUUUCAGACCCCCUCUCGGUCCAAGUCGACUCGGUUAAAGCAGAGCUUCAAUAUGAAGCAGACAGCGGACGAGCCACGGAGCGUCGGGCAGCGUCGUUUAUAGACGACACCACCGAAGAAUUGA